UGAGUAUGAUAUGUGAAAAAAAAUAGAUAAAAAGUAAAUUCUAAAAGUAAACAAAAUAAAUUGAGUAUAGAAAAGUUGUCAACAAGCUAUCAAAAUCCAAAAAUGGAAACCGUAGCUCAUGAGCUAAGUAAUGGAAACACCAUCACCGCUGCUGACGGAGAACAAACCGGCUCCGCCUUCAAGCUAGUUGGCUUCAACAACUUCCUCCGAACAAAUCCAAUGUCCGACAAAUUCUCAGUCAAAAGGUUCCACCACGUUGAAUUCUGGUGCUCCGACGCCACCAACACUGCCUGUCGUUUCUCUUGGGGCCUUGGCAUGCCCAUCGUUCAGAAGUCUGAUCUAUCUACCGGAAACACAACUCACGCUUCCUACCUCCUCCGCUCCGGCCAACUCAACUUCCUCUUCACCGCUCCUUAUUCCCCUUCCACCACCACCACUGCCGCCUCCAUCCCGACGUUUUCCCAAACGGAUUGCCGCAACUUCACCGCCUCCCACGGCCUCGCAGUCCGCUCAAUCGCCAUCGAAGUCGAAGACGCCGAAAUCGCUUUCUCCAUCAGCGUCUCCCACGGCGCCAAACCCUCCUCUGCUCCAAUCACCCUUGGAGAUAACGACGUCGUAUUGUCUGAAGUAAAACUUUACGGUGACGUCGUUUUGCGUUACGUAAGCUACAAGAGUCCCAACUAUGAUGCCAUAUCUACUUUUUUGCCCGGGUUCAAACCCAUUGAAAAUACGUCGUCGCUUCCUGACCUUGACUACGGGAUUCGCGGCCUUGAUCACGCCGUAGGCAACGUCCCGGAACUCGCUCCGGCUAUAGAUUACGUGAAAUCAUUCACCGGAUUCCAUAAGUUCGCCGAAUUCACGGCGGAUGAUGUUGGUACGAACGAAAGCGGACUCAAUGCGGUCAAUUUAGCGUGCAAUAACGAGAUGGUUUUGAUCGCGAUGAAUGAGCCGGUGUACGGAACAAAGAGGAGGAGCCAGAUCCAGACGUAUCUGGAACACAACGAAGGCGCCGGAGUUCAGCAUUUGGCGCUCUCCAGUGAGGACAUAUUUGGGACGUUGAGAGAGAUGAGGAAGCGCAGCGGAGUUGGUGGUUUUGAAUUUAUGCCGUCGCCACCGCCUACUUAUUAUCGGAAUUUGAAGAAUAGAGUUGGAGAUGUAUUGACAGAUGAAGAGAUUAAGGAGUGUGAGGAGUUGGGAAUACUGGUGGAUAGAGAUGAUCAGGGGACUCUGCUUCAGAUCUUCACCAAGCCUGUGGGUGACAGGUAAUAUUAUGUUCCUCACAUGAAACUCCUCAAUAUUCUUCACUUCCCAAAUAGCAUAUUGCAUCAUUAAGACUUUUCUGUAUAUAGAUGAUAUCUAUUAUCAAAAGUAGUAGCCAUAUUUCUUAUCUAUACCCUAAAUUUUCUUUACUUUUCCAUUUUUCUUUAAUCAAUAAUAAUACUGUAUAAAUGGGAAGUAGUAACUAAAAAAAUUUAUAUCUUUUAGACCUAAAACCAUAACGUUUACAAUUAAGCAAUAAUAAUAAUAAUAACUGAUAAUUAAUGAUCUUAUAAAUAAUAAUGACAAUAAUAAAUGGUUUUAAAACAUUUUACCUAUAUAAUCUUUUUAAUGAAUAUAAGUGAUUUUAAAAUUCAUUAACAGUAAUAGUAAAAUAAAAUUAUAAGUUACAUUUUAACUUACACAUAAUUGUUGAUAUUUUAAAAAAUUAUCAUAAUGGUCAAAUUAAAAAAAAAAAAUCAAAUAAAUAAGUUUUAAAUUAUCAUGGGAAUACUGGUGGAUAGAGAGUCACAGUGGACUCUGCUUAGAGUUGGAUUGCAUUAUGACCCCACCAUCUAAGACUAGCUGAAAGCUAUAUCAAGUAAGUAGAUGUGUUAAAGAUUGUUAAUUUAAGCCUAGUUGCCUAAAAGAUUCAUAAAUCAAGGGUAGAAAUUGUAACAUGCAUUAAGAUACAAAAGAAAGUUGGAAGCAUAGUCCCUGUAUUAAGCUCUCCGUUGGAAUUCAUAUGAUUUUUGAGCGCGGACUGUUUAUUUCAGUUAAAAAGAAGAAAAAGAAAUCAGACCCUAAAGCAGUGGCAGUUUGGUCGUAAAUUGUUAAUUACCAAAAAAAAUGCAUAUAUUCGAGUUGGAUGUGUGAUAAGCCUAAAGCGGGGGCAAAUUGGUCUUUCUGAAAAAUCAAAAAAUGACAAAAAGAAAAACUGUAUAUAGGGGUAAUUUGGUCCUUCUCUACAUCACCCAUCUAUAUACAGCAACUGAAAUUUGGAAAUGCUUAUCAGUUUCAAGAUGCAUCGUUACAAACAAGCUCGAGUAUCAUUACAAACAAGCACACCAGUCAACAUGACUUGCUUUUAUUAAGAGAAUCCUGAUGAUGAUGCAAUAGAAGAAAUUGUAUAUAGGGGCAGUUUGGUCACAAACCGUUAAAGCAGGGGUAGAUUGGUUUUGUGCGCGUAUAAAAGGGCAGUUUUAAUCGGUCAAUUUAGAGAGAGUUCUGUGUUCACUCCAAGGACGAAGCCAAAUUUUUUUUUUUAGAGUGGUCCUCAUAUAUAUAUAUAUAUAUAUAUAUAUAUAUAUAUAUAUAUAAACUAAUUAAUGAAAAAACCAAAUGAAAAAUGAAAGAAGAAUACAAGUUUUUAAAAAGAAUAGCAUAUAUCAAUUAAUAUUAUAUCUUAUUUUGAAAAGCAAAAAGAAAAAAAAUAAAAAUGUGAGUGAGAGUGGGCCUGGACCUACCCUAGUCCUAAGGUGGCUUCGCCCUUGGUUCACUCCCUCCCCUUAAAAAAUUUUGAGAAAGAAGGCUCUGAAAAUCAAUUUCUAUUCCAGAUAAAACUAAAAAAAAUGCCAUGUCAUUAUAUUUCUAUUUCAGGUAAAACUAAAAAAAAUGCCAUGUCAUUAUAAUUUUCGUUUGUGAAUAUGUUCAAAUCAUUUUUUUGUUGUGACUAACAUGUUUUUUAUAUAAAGAAAAGGCAAAACUCUGAUGACUUUUUUUGAACAUCUUUGAAACUUUCUUACCUUUAUAAUUCAUUUUCCUUAUAUUUUAACGCAAAUUGAUAGGGAAUAAUCAAAUUGAACACGGAUGAGGAUAGGGAUAAAGUAUCCCAUGGGUCCUCCAACGCAAUCCGAUAUUGUUUCAUAAAAAUAUUUGAUGAUAAUAUUUAGUACAUUAAAAAUAAUAUUAAAAUUCAAAAAAUUUAAAUCCAAAAAAUUUAAUAAAUGACGUACAUAAGGAGGACGAUUAGAGGGUGUUAUGGGGAAGAGGAAUAGGAGUAGACCGGGAUUGAGGGUUACAAAAUAACGAACGAAAACUACAUUUUACAAAGUUCAAAAUAAAGGUGAUAAAAAUGAUAUUUUAAAAUGUAUUUUGAAAAGUAUAUAGUGAAAACAGUCAUUUUAGAAAAUAUAUUAUCAUAAAAUUUCAUUUCAUUAAGUAUUUAAAAAAAUAUAAAGUAAAAACUAUUAUUUUAAAAAGUAAAAAAAUAUAUGGAUGAAAAAAGUCACUUUAUAAAAUAUUAAGAUAGAAAAUGUCAGUUUACAAAGUAUUUUAAAACAUAUAAGGGUAAAAAUUGUCAUUUUAGAAAGUAUAAGGUAGGAAACGACGUUGCCUUUUAAUGCUUAUAGACAAAAUUGCAAAAAUGGUCCUGUGGUAUGUCCAAAAAUGCUACUUUUGGCCAAACGGGUUUGGACUAGCACAAAUGGUCCAAAGGUUUUCAUUUUGCUGCGUUUUUGGUCCAAAAUAGUUUAAAAUUUCUAAAAAUGACGAAUUUGCCCUUUUUCCAUUUGUUUUUUCUUUUCUUUUUGUUAUUUAAUUAUUUUCUAUCUAAAAAAAUAUAAAAAAUAAAAGAAAAUCUCUCUCUCUCUCUCACAUCACCCUAUACCACCCACACAAACACCACCGCCCAAGGCCACCUUCAAUCACCAAUCACCCAAGACCUCCCUUAUUCCUCAAUUAUCACCAUUCCUACCAGUUGCAAAUGUAAAAAUAAAAAAAAAAUAAAAAAAAAUAAAAAAAAAGCUACAAUCGAUUCAGAAAGGAGAAAAAGGAGAACUGUAAUCGAGUUUAGAAGAAGGAGAAAGAGGGUGCGACUUUGGGUGACUGUGUUUGUCGAUUGGAUUUUGAGAAGUGAACGGGGGUUCCGAUUUCUAGUGUGAAACCCUUGUCGUCGAUCUAAACUUGUUGGUAUUUCAAGGUUCGGUUUUUUCGAUCUAACCCUUGAUGGAGCUUCCUGUUAAAGCAAGCCUUAGCACCAACCAAAAUCGAAACUUGAACAAGAGGAUUAAGGCUUGAAUCUGAUAAGAUACCUUGUAUUGUUGAGGAAUCGACUUUGCUUGAGCAUGAAUUAAAGGAAAUUGGGGGUAAACGAGGCUAGAUAUGUCCGAUUAGGAGUUAAAUUAGGUUGCAAACUAAUCUUGGAAGAAACUAAGUUGAAAACUGAUCUUGCCCCUACAGCUGAUUCAUAACCAUCACUGGUAUCAGAGGUGACACCUACAGAACCUGCUCCAUAAACAAACUUUGAGAUCUGGGUUAAAUACACACAUUGAAAAGGAACUCGGAAUUACAUUAAAAGAAGAUGAAAAUGGUGUGUUCUGAACAGAAAAGAAAAAUGGUUACUGAGAUCGAUGGAGGAAUAAGGAAGAACGAAUGGAAGCUGCUUGAGGGUCGAAAAGAGAUGAAUACAAAAGGGAAAAUGGUGGUUGUCGCCGGUUCUUCUUCUCCGCUGAACAGUGUCGACGGUCCUGUUUGCGAUUGAUCGAAGGCUUGCUUUAGCUGGCCAUGGCGGCGAUUUGGUGGUUAUUGGGUCGGUCUGCCAUUAAAAUUGAAGGAAGACGAGAGGUUGGGCUGAAGAAGGCAACAAAUUCGAUGGUUGUUGGGUUUUUCUGGUGAUUAGGAGGAGGAGGAGGAGGAGGGGAGAGAGGGGGUGAUUUUCUUUUAUUUUUUAUAUUUUGUUAGAAAAUAAUUAAAUAAAAAAAAGAAAAGAAAAAAACAAAUGGAAAAGGGCAAAUUCAUCAUUUUUAAAAAUUUUAAACUGUUUUGGACCAAAAACGCAGCAAAAUGAAAACUUUUGGACUAUUUGUGCUAGUCCAAACUUGUUUGGCCAAAAGUAGCAUUUUUGGACAUAUCACAGGGACCCUUCUUGCAAUUUUGUCAUGCUUAUAUAAUUGGAACCUUUUUAAUGUGUGUAUUAUGUCCUUGCGAGAUUCUUUGGAUUUUAAAUAUUAAAUGGGUUAAGAGAACAGUUUAAUUUUCGUAUCAUGUUGUAUCAAUUUAUUUAUUUAAACAGCUUGUUCAAACCAGUUUAUUUGAGGGGUUUAAUGUUUAGGUUUUAGACCUUAUAAGCGUGUUGUGGCGAGUUGUGUUAUAAUAUUAAAGAUGUUGAAAGAAUUUGACAAUAACUUUAAUUAUUUAAUUUUCGUGUCGUAUCAACCGAUUAGUAAACAUGACAAAAUCUCUUAUCAAAACAUAUUAUUUUCAUGUCGGAUUGACGGAUCGUGUCAGUUUUACCGCCUCUAAAUUGAUAAUAUACCACUAGAAACCUUGGUUAAUAAUUUAGUAGUAAUUUUUUUGGUAAAUGAUUAAACCGAAAAUUCUAUAGUCAGUUACAUUAAAAUGAUAUAAACGAACAUAUUAUUUAAGGGAAAAUGUCAUUAUACCCUAAAAACUUUUCAGUUUUGGUUUAAAAGGUCUUUAAUGUUAUUUUUCUUUGGCUUUCUAGAUGCAUAAAGUCCAUUUUAAUAUGUUAAAAUGUUAAUAUCAAUAGAUAUUGGAAGAGGUCAUCCGGUAAACAUUUAUCUAGUAAAAAUAAUUUACUACCACAUCAUUUAAAAUUGGUCCACGUGUGAUGUGAUGAUGUCCAAGUGGAUUUUGACAAACUCUCUCUCUCUCUCUCUCUCUCUCUCUCUCUCUCGUUUUGAUUGCUUAAAAAAUCUCUCUCUCUCUCUCUCUCUCUCUCUCUCAUUUUGAUUGCUUAAAGAAUCACCGAUCACAAUAACAUCAUCAUAACAGUAAAUCCUUCAAUAACUUGUAUCGUAUUUUAGUUUUAUAGAUUAGAAUUUUAAGUAGAUUUGUUAAUGUUAUAUGAAGAAUAUGAAUAAAUGUUUGAUUUAAACAUAAAAUAUUUCGUACACUUCAAAACCCAAGAACGUUGUUAAAAAACAAAACAUGUUUGAUUCAAACAUAAAAAGAACUUUAAUUAUCUAUAUGUCUUAACAUAGGAAAGAAACUACUACUAAAUGUGUAAACCUAAAAAUAUAAGGUACUUGUUACCCAAAAACCAAUCAUCACCUCUUUGUUUCAAACACAUAUUUAUCCAUCAGUUUGAAACUCUGCUUUUAGGGUUUAGAUUCAAAUCCAGAAACCAACAGCCACCACCCACCACCAACAUCUUCCAUUGUUCACCACUGGUAUCUUCCGCCGCCCACCAUUAUUUAUUAUCCAAGAUCAUAAGAAGCAAAUCACACCCAGAUCUUGAAAAAAAUCUGGAAAAAAAAAUAUGUGAGGAACAGAGCACCAGAGGUGACUUCCAUGGACGAGAGCUCAGUCCCCAUGUCAGAGAUGAAAAUGAGUGGGAGGCCAGUCAGAUCUGGAAACCAUCUCUUUGCAUCACCGAGAUCCGAGAACACUGAUUACAGUCGGAGGUCAUGAUAUCGUUGUUCCUGGUAUGCUCCACAGUAGACAUAUUGUUGUACAUGUAUUAGAUGGCAUUCUCGAGUUCAUAUCUCAUAUGAUAAAUUCACUUUCGAGUGGUUGGUCAAUGUUUUUGAUGUCGCAAAGAUGUGCUUAUUUAUCUGAACCUCCUAUAGGGAAAAACUGAUGGUUUCUUGGGUCGAUUAUACUGGAGUUUAUCUUCAGUUGUUAGAGGAAGAAUGGUGGUCAAUUAUGAUGGAGUUUAUCUUAAGUUGUUAGAGGAAGAAUGAUGGUUUGUUUCUGUGAAUGGGAGCAUCGUAAAAGCGAAAGAAGAAGAUGAUGGAUAAAGAUGUGAGGUGGAUUUCAAUUAUAUUUCUUUUUUAAGUGAAAAAAACACGUGAUUUAAACCGGUAAUUACAGGUUAAGGUUUUUUUUACAUGUAAAAA